rnacentral:rRNA from 1 species
GAUGAACGCUAGCGGCAGGCCUAAUACAUGCAAGUCGAACGGGAUCCAGAUCAAAGCUUGCUUUGGUCUGGUGAGAGUGGCGCACGGGUGCGUAACGCGUGAGCAACCUACCCUUGUCAGGGGGAUAGCCCGGCGAAAGUCGGAUUAAUACCGCAUGACAUCAUUGAGAGGCAUCUUUCGAUGAUCAAAGAUUUAUCGGACAAGGAUGGGCUCGCGUGACAUUAGCUAGUUGGUAAGGUAACGGCUUACCAAGGCUGCGAUGUCUAGGGGCUCUGAGAGGAGAAUCCCCAACACUGGUACUGAGACACGGACCAGACUCCUACGGGAGGCAGCAGUAAGGAAUAUUGGUCAAUGGACGGAAGUCUGAGCCAGCCAUGCCGCGUGCAGGAGGACGGCCCUAUGGGUUGUAAACUGCUUUUAUACGGGAACAAACGUCGGUACGUGUACCGGUCUGAGUGUACCGUAAGAAUAAGGAUCGGCUAACUCCGUG